UGAUUUUUGAAACGGCCUUGAAUAUGUUGAGCGAGUAUUUGCGAAUGGUUAGGAUUUUCCUGUGCAAGAUGCUUGGUUAGCGGCGAACGGGUUAGUAACACGUAGGUAAUUUACCAUUGACACGGGCAUAGCCCGUCGAAAGACGGAGUAAUUCCCGAUGUCAAGUUCAUUCCUAAGAAUGAACUUGAAAGGCGCAAGCCGGUCAUUGAUGAGCCUGCGAACUAUCAGCUUGUUGGCGGGGUAACGGCCCACCAAGGCGAUGACGGUUAGGGGGAGUGAGAGCUUGUUCCCCAACACUGGGACUGCGACACGGCCCAGACACCUACGGGUGGCAGCAGCCGAGAAUAUUGGACAAUGGGCGAAAGCCUGAUCCAGCGACAUUGCGUGGAGGAUGAAGACGUUCGCGCCGUAAACUCCUUUUAUAGGGAAAGAAGUAAUUGACGGUACCCUAUGAAUAAGCGGGGGCUAAUUCUGUGCCAGCAGCAGCGGUAAUACAGAACCCGCAAGCGUUAUCCGGAUUUAUUGGGCGUAAAGUGUUCGUAGGCGGUUCGGAAAGUCUGAUAUCAAAUAUCCGGGCUCAACCCGGGGCGAGUAUUGGAAACUUCCGAACUUGAAGGUGCUAGGGGCUAUCGGAACGCACGGUGUAGGGGUGAAAUCCGUUGAUAUCGUGCGGAACACCAAAAGCGAAGGCAGAUAGCUGGGGCAUUCUUGACGCUGAGGAACGAAAGCGUGGGGAGCAAAAAGGAUUAGAUACCCUUGUAGUCCACGCCCUAAACGAUGGACACUGGUUGCUUGAAGUGUCGACCCUUCAAGUGGCGAAGCUAACGCGUUAAGUGUCCCGCCUGGGAAGUACGGCCGCAAGGCUAAAACUCAAANNGACGGGGGCUCACACAAGCGGUGGAUCAUGUGGCUUAAUUCGAUAACAAACGAGUAACCUUACCUGGCUAAGACGCCCGACGACGUCUCCGUGAAAGCGGAGUUUCCCACAAGGACGGCGGGACAGGUGCUGCAUGGUUGUCGUCA
rnacentral:rRNA from 1 species